rnacentral:tRNA from 1 species
AGGAUUAUAGUUUAUAAAAAUAUUUGAUUUGCACUCAAAAGAUAUUGAUUUCAAUUUAUCUUA